UAGGAAGCAAAGGUUUAGGCUUCUAUCGUGGACUGAGAACAUGACCCUAAAAGAUAAGAUUAACGUCUCUUCAUGCUUAAUUUACUCUCGGAGUUUGUUCUUAGGUGUUUUUUUUUAACAUGCAUCUUUUGGGGCUCAAUAAUCCUUGUGAUGCAGAAUAGCAGAUGCUAUUUUGGGAAUUUUAAAGAUUCCAUUAGAUAAAUGAUAGCUAUUGUCUGUGGAUUCCACCAAGAGGUUUGACCGCAAUAGCUAUUAGAUUUGAUAGCCUUUGUUGGUCGAUAUGCUGCUGCUGGAAAAAUAACCCAUUUGGCCUUGGAAGAAAAUCUCAUGGCCUAGUUUGUUCUGUAGUGAAGGUCAGGUGGUAUUACUUUUUAUGGACUACAGUGAGUCUGCUGUGUUCCACUUCGAGAGAGAUUAUUUUGUUGGUCGUGGAUUGUAAGAACAAUCAUGCAAAACAGCCAAGUCUCCAUCUCUUUAUAGAGGUCUAAAGUGAGGAUUACUCAUUUAAACAAAAGCGAAAAAACCAGAAUGAAGAAAGAAGAUAAGAAGCUUUUGCAAGUUUAAACACCCGCUCUUCUGUUUAAUCUUGAACAAGGAGAUAUAUGGGAGAAUAUAAAAGGCUGAAGGUAGACGAAGAUAACAAAGAAGCUCUCUAAAUUCUCAAUAAAGAGAAAACCGAAAAUGUCACUAAGACACUAUUUCAAAGUUUGAGGUGGACAAGGAGAAGCUCUAUAUAUGAUAUGAGCAACUAAGUAAGCCAACAAACUCCUUUAGAGACCAUACUCACUUACCCCUGUAGAAUAGCAUGCGUGCAAAAAAAAGAGGUGACAAGAUACCUGAAUAGGGGAGGAUCUACAAAGAAAAGAUUUCCCAGUUGGAAGAAUCACUCAAGGUGUAUUGCAGCGGAGCUCUCCAAGUGAAAAUGGCGAUGGGCACUUGAGUGCUCGACGUUGAAAGCUAGUUGCAGCACUAAAGAAAAUGCCGUUCUAAAUACAAACUUUUCACAAAAUAGUUUUUUUUUUCUUGCUUUCUUUGACAGUGAAAUUUUUAUAUUUUGAAGGUUUAGUCAUUGCCAAUCUCUUUCACCCUCUCACAGUCCAAGAGAAGAAUAUCUAUGGUUCCUGCUUUUGGAAAAAUUUUCACCGUCCAGGUUUCCACUUUCAACUUGAUAAUUCUUAGAAAUCUUUGUGCUACUAUAAGAUGAUGAUUUUCUGCUGUUUCCGUUAAAUUUUGUUAGUAAGUCUACAUGGUUUGGCAACCCAUACAUGAUUUGGUAAGAGAAUUGUGAGUGAAUCAAGGUAUUGUUUGACAAAUGUGCAUACACAGAGUUUUCAUCAAGUUCAUGACCAUUGAUCAUAACAUAUGCAGUUUCAGGUAUUUUUCCCACUGUAGUUGUAGAAUUGAUGGUCACGACAUGAACAUAUUAAUGUCAUUUUGGUUUUCAGGUAAAUUUAAUGCUCUAGUCUGAUCAUCCAUAUUAAGUGCAGGACAAGAAGUGGAGCAUAGUGUCGGUGAUGAGACUACAAAGGGAUACUUGUAAUUAUUAAGUGUUGGUGUCUAUGCUGUUGUUUUUUGUGGACUUGCAGGGUUCAGUUAAGGAACUACAAAAGUCUGAUGCGUUCCUUGUUGAGAGAGAUUAUCAGUUGGUAGUGGUAUCUUUCGAGAAGUCAUGGUGUUUUCUCCUCUGUAGUAUGUCAUUCAGAUUUCAAGGUAAGAUAGAAACCGCGACUGGAUGUGAGUCAAAAGAAAGGAUAGGGCCUUCGUUUCGAUCUCCGGAGUUAUCUUUUAGUUUUUAAAGUUUAACUAUCCUCCAGUCCCAGGUAUGUAUCAUUAUUUACUUCAGUUUAGUAUUUCGAUUUUUUUUCUGAUGUAGUAACAUAUUUCAUAGCUAACAUACUUUCAGAAUUAUAUAGAGAUUGAACAGGUUAUAGACGGAAACAUAGAGAAUAAUAAUGUUAUGGUCCUUGGUUCCUAUAAUAACAUGAUCUAAGUUGAUCUCUUAACACAUAGCAUACAAUUAUGUUCAGUUUCUUGCAUUCAUGCAUGUUUGCUUCCUUGAUUCACAGCUUGAUUCUUCACUUGCAUCAUUAACCGUCAUUUCCUUGCUUAACUUGUGUUUGCUUAUUUCUUUCACUAGUUGCAUUCAUGCAUGGUUGCUUCCUUGAUUCAUUGAUUGCUUCUUUACUUGCAUCAUUAACCAGCACUUCCUUGCUUAACUUGCGUUUGCUUGUUUCUUUCACUAGUUGACUUCAUAUAUGGUUGCUUCCUUGAUUCACUGCUUGAUUCUUUACUUGCAUCAUUAACUGUCAUUUCCUUGCUUAACUUGCAUUUGCUUGUUUCUUUCACUAGUUGCUUUCAUGCUAGCUUAGCUCAUUUACUUGAUGCUUUCUUUGUUUCUUGCUUGCUCAUUUUUUCAGUUCAUUUAUUAACUUGUUUGUGUGCUUACUUCCUCAUUUCGUUAUUUGGCUACAUGCUUAUCUUGUUUCAUUCUCUGUUUCUUCGAUCUUUGUUUACUAUAUCAUUCGUUGCUUAACUUGUUUGUAUGUUUCCUUACUUCUUUCAUAUUUUGCUUGCAUGCUUGACUUAUUUUCGCACUUUCCUCUUUGCUUUCUUCACUUAAUUCAUUGUUUGCUUCCAUGCUUUAUUCGCUCUUUUUAUUGUGUGCUUUCUUGUUUCCUUAUUACUUGCAUACAUAUAUUCAUGGAUACAUCAUACAUUUAUAGACGAAAAUAUGUAUGUACACUUGCAUACUUCCUUGUACACGUACAUAAUUGAUUUGUUUUUCUGUUUUGCUUCCUUGAUUUCUUAAUGUAUCUGGAUCUCCGAUGUGAAUUGGGUACCAUAGGAAAUCGAUGUCUUAAAAAUUUGAUUACAUAUACAUAUAUACAAUAAAACCUCUAUAAAUUAAUAAUGUUGGG